GACGAACCGUGCGAACGUUGUUCGGAAUCACUGGGCUUAAAGGGCGCGUAGGCGGGUUCGCAAGUCAGGGGUGAAAUCUUUCAGCUUAACUGGAAACAGCCCUGAUACUGCGAGUCUCGAGGGAGGUAGGGGCAUGUGGAACUCCGGUGGAGCGGUGAAAUGCGUAGAUAUCGGAAGGAACGCCGGUGGCGAAAGCGACGUGCUGGACCUCUUCUGACGCUGAGGCGCGAAAGCCAGGGGAGCAAACGGG
rnacentral:rRNA from 1 species